GAUGAACGCUGGCGGCGUGCUUAACACAUGCAAGUCGAACGAUGAAGCCCAGCUUGCUGGGUGGAUUAGUGGCGAACGGGUGAGUAACACGUGAGUAACAUGCCCUUAACUCUGGGAUAAGCCUGGGAAACUGGGUCUAAUACCGGAUAGGAGCGUCCACCGCAUGGUGGGUGUUGGAAAGAUUUAUCGGUUUUGGAUGGACUCGCGGCCUAUCAGCUUGUUGGUGAGGUAAUGGCUCACCAAGGCGACGACGGGUAGCCGGCCUGAGAGGGUGACCGGCCACACUGGGACUGAGACACGGCCCAGACUCCUACGGGAGGCAGCAGUGGGGAAUAUUGCACAAUGGGCGCAAGCCUGAUGCAGCGACGCCGCGUGAGGGAUGACGGCCUUCGGGUUGUAAACCUCUCUCAGUAGGGAAGAAGCGAAAGUGACGGUACCUGCAGAAGAAGCACCGGCUAACUACGUG
rnacentral:rRNA from 1 species